UUGAUUUUUUAUUAAUUUUCUUUCACGUACAGAGUCGUGGAUAUUUUGAUUUUCCAACAUAAAGAAAGAGAACUCUUAACUUUUCUCUCUCCGUUUUUCUAUUUUUCUUCUUCUUCGAUUCUCUUCUUCCUUAUUAAGUUAUUUCCUUUUCUUUCUCCUCCACCCUACUCCAAACCUCCACCUCUGUUUGUUUUAGACCAUCCUCUAUAACCAAACAAACUUUAACCUUCCUCCUUCCAUAACUCCUAACAACCUUCUACCUCAUCAUCUCCAAACACUUUCAUCCACCACCAUUUCAUCCAACUCUCGUCGGCCAAGCCACCCACAAAAAACCAGCAACCAUCCAUAAAACCACCACACAACAACCCAACAACCACACAUAUCAUCAUCUUUUUUAAAACAAAACAUAUAAACCACAACUUGUAGCUAUUAACGGUGAUAAAACCACCUUGCUCCGUCGCUUCCCCAAAACUCACGAACGAACCAAUUCAAACAAACUCUCAAAAGCUUUUUCGACCGCUCACAUGUGCGUAAAACGUGACCACACCAUAACAUAUGACCACAACGCAUGCCGCCGAAAAAAU
rnacentral:lncRNA from 1 species